rnacentral:rRNA from 1 species
CACGUAGGGGGCGAGCGUUGUCCGGAUUUACUGGGCGUAAAGAGCUCGUAGGCGGUUCAGUUAGUCGGGUGUGAAAUCUCCGGGCUCAACCCGGAGGGGCCACCCGAUACUGCUGUGACUCGAGUCCGGUAGGGGAGUGGGGAAUUCCUGGUGUAGCGGUGAAAUGCGCAGAUAUCAGGAGGAACACCGGUGGCGAAGGCGCCACUCUGGGCCGGUACUGACGCUGAGGAGCGAAAGCGUGGGUAGCAAACAGG